rnacentral:lncRNA from 1 species
GAAAUUUCAUAUGAACAAAUGCUUCUGCUCAAUGGUUCUAUUUAUAGAACCCCUUAUUUGGGUUGUAAGCUAAAAAGCCCACUUAAGUGUAUGUGGCCCAUAUCUUAUGAUAUACCAAAACCACUUAAGUAUGUGGUACCUUACCAUAUUUCGUAUUCUACUUAAGUGCACCGUACCUUAUGAUGUUCUACAAUUCACUUAAGUGAACAGUACCUUACGGUGUUC